rnacentral:rRNA from 1 species
AUUGAACGCUGGCGGCAUGCUUUACACAUGCAAGUCGAACGGUAACAGGCCGCAAGGUGCUGACGAGUGGCGAACGGGUGAGUAAUGCAUCGGAACGUGCCCAGUCGUGGGGGAUAACGCAGCGAAAGCUGCGCUAAUACCGCAUACGAUCUAUGGAUGAAAGCGGGGGACCGUAAGGCCUCGCGCGAUUGGAGCGGCCGAUGUCAGAUUAGGUAGUUGGUGGGGUAAAGGCUCACCAAGCCAACGAUCUGUAGCUGGUCUGAGAGGACGACCAGCCACACUGGGACUGAGACACGGCCCAGACUCCUACGGGAGGCAGCAGUGGGGAAUUUUGGACAAUGGGCGCAAGCCUGAUCCAGCAAUGCCGCGUGCAGGAAGAAGGCCUUCGGGUUGUAAACUGCUUUUGUCAGGGAAGAAAUCUUCUGGGUUAAUACCUCGGGAGGAUGACGGUACCUGAAGAGUAAGCACCGGCUAACUACGUGCCAGCCGCCGCCGUAAGAC